GCAAUUGGACUGUUAUUUUACAAAACACCAUAACUUGGGGUCUGUUUUCAAUGAAAUGAAGGAGAAAUAGAGAAGAUUCAUAGUCUCUAAACCAUGUAAUUUUCAUUUGCAGGUCCAAACCAUCUUCCAAGAGUUGCAAUUGUUAGAAGACCAAAUGUUGGGACUCAAUGUUGGUCUGGACUCUGGAGCAAAGCUUUAGAUCUCCUAAAGUGACAAAGGAUGGGAUCACUGUAGCAAAGAGCUUUGGGUUCAGAAUUACAUGCUCAAAUUCCUUGAGCUUUCAAAUGAAAAAGAAACACAGAUCAAGUGGACUUCUGACAGGGAAUACAGGAGAAAGAUACUGAGGUUACUAACCAUACUUGCCUUGAGAGAUUCAUACUUGAUGAGGUAAGGUAGUAGUCUAGCUAGUUCGUAGCUAGUAUCUGCUAUUAAUUUGCUUGUUUUUUCUUUUUUCUCUUUCUUUAUCUUUAUCUGUUCAUGCAACUAUUUUGAUUUGCCUCCUUAGAUGGAGUAGCUUAUGAGAUUAUAGUGUUUAAUUACAUGAUGGAGACGAUUUAGGAGAAGGGUAGGCAAAUUUGACAAGGU